rnacentral:rRNA from 1 species
GAUGAACGCUGGCGGCGUGCCUAAUACAUGCAAGUCGAGCGAACAGACGAGGAGCUUGCUCCUCUGACGUUAGCGGCGGACGGGUGAGUAACACGUGGAUAACCUACCUAUAAGACUGGGAUAACUUCGGGAAACCGGAGCUAAUACCGGAUAAUAUAUUGAACCGCAUGGUUCAAUAGUGAAAGACGGUUUUGCUGUCACUUAUAGAUGGAUCCGCGCCGCAUUAGCUAGUUGGUAAGGUAACGGCUUACCAAGGCAACGAUGCGUAGCCGACCUGAAAGGGUGAUCAGACACACUGUAACUGAGACACGGUCCAGACUCCUACGGGAGGCAGCAGUAGGGAAUCUUCCGCAAUGGGCGAAAGCCUGACGGAGCAACGCCGCGUGAGUGAUGAAGGUCUUCGGAUCGUAAAACUCUGUUAUUAGGGAAGAACAAAUGUGUAAGUAACUAUGCACGUCUUGACGGUACCUAAUCAGAAAGCCACGGCUAACUACGUG